UCUUACUCUGUCCGGGUGGUAUAUCGCCCAGCUAAUCGGGUUGUUAUCUACCCGGCUAGAUAGACACUAUCUCCCUAAAGGUAUUCUAUAGCAGCACUACCCGUGUCCGCAGUCGCCACCCGGAUCGAUAGCUGGAUCCAACAUCGCCACAGGAGCAACCCGAAAACCCCGCGUAACGGCAGGUGCCA